rnacentral:rRNA from 1 species
CAGCCGCCACGGGAAUACGGAGGGGGCUAGCGUUGUUCGGAAUUACUGGGCGUAAAGCGCACGUAGGCGGCUUUGUAAGUCAGAGGUGAAAGCCCGGGGCUCAACCCCGGAAUUGCCUUUGAGACUGCAUCGCUUGAAUCCAGGAGAGGUGAGUGGAAUUCCGAGUGUAGAGGUGAAAUUCGUAGAUAUUCGGAAGAACACCAGUGGCGAAGGCGGCUCACUGGACUGGUAUUGACGCUGAGGUGCGAAAGCGUGGGGAGCAAACAGGAUUAGAGACCCGCGUAGUCCCUGUCUCUUAUAC